rnacentral:rRNA from 1 species
UUCCGGUUGAUCCUGCCGGAGGUCACUGCUAUUGGGAUUCGACUAAGCCAUGCGAGUCGAGAGGGUUCGGCUCUCGGCUGACGGCUCAGUAACACGUGGAUAAUCUGCCCUAAGGUGGAGGAUACCCUCGGGAAACUGAGAAUAAUACUCCAUAGGUCUAGGAGGCUGGAAUGCAUCUAGGCUUAAAACUCCGGUGCCUUAGGAUGAGUCCGCGGACUAUCAGGUUGUAGUCAGGGUAAUGACCUGACUAGCCUUCGACGGAUACGGGUUGUGAGAGCAAUAACCCGGAGACGAUAUCUGAGACACGAUAUCGGGCCCUACGGGGCGCAGCAGGCGCGAAACCUUCACACUGUGCGAGAGCACGAUGAGGGAAUCCCAAGUGCUGGCACGUAAGUGUCAGCUGUUUCUUUGUCUAAAAAACAGAGAGAGUAAGGGCUGGGUAAGACGGGUGCCAGCCGCCGCGGUAAUACCUGCAGCUCAAGUGGUGACCGCUAUUAUUGGGCCUAAAACGUCCGUAGCCCGUUUUGGUAAAUGCCUGGGUAAAUCGUGUGGCUUAACCAUACGAAUGCCGGGUAGACUGCCAGGCUUGAGAUCGGGAGAAGUCAGAGGUACUCCUGGGGUAGAGGUGAAAUUCUGUAAUCCUAGGGGGACCACCAGUGGCGAAGGCGUCUGACUAGAACGGGUCUGACGGUGAGGGACGAGGCCCUGGGGCGCAAACCGGAUUAGAUACCCGGGUAGUCCAGGGUGUAAACGCUGCUCGCUUGAUGUUAGCUAGGCUCCGAGCCUCGCUAGUGUCGGAGAGAAGUUGUUAAGCGAGCUGCCUGGGAAGUACGGUCGCAAGACUGAAACUUAAAGGAAUUGGCGGGGGAGCACAGCAACGGGUGGAGCGUGCGGUUUAAUUGGAUUCAACGCCGGGAAUCGAAUU